AGCGAACGCUGGCGGCAGGCUUAACACAUGCAAGUCGAGCGGGCGUAGCAAUACGUCAGCGGCAGACGGGUGAGUAACGCGUGGGAACAUACCUUUUGGUUCGGAACAACACAGGGAAACUUGUGCUAAUACCGGAUAAGCCCUUACGGGGAAAGAUUUAUCACCGAAAGAUUGGCCCGCGUCUGAUUAGCUAGUUGGUGAGGUAAUGGCUCACCAAGGCGACGAUCAGUAGCUGGUCUGAGAGGAUGAUCAGCCACAUUGGGACUGAGACACGGCCCAAACUCCUACGGGAGGCAGCAGUGGGGAAUAUUGGACAAUGGGCGCAAGCCUGAUCCAGCCAUGCCGCGUGAGUGAUGAAGGCCCUAGGGUUGUAACGCUCUUUUGUGCGGGAAGAUAAUGACGGUACCGCAAGAAUAAGCCCCGGCUAACUUCGUGCCAGCAGCCGCGGUAAU
rnacentral:rRNA from 1 species